UAACACUUACAGUAAUGUUUUAUUUGUUAGCAUAGCAUGAUAUUAGAUUUAAACACUUAAUACAUUUUUAAAUCAAUCACUUUGUCUCUGUUUACAUUAGUUAAUGCACAAUGAACAUUAUCAAAUAUUAUUAAUGUUGUAAAAUAUAUUGUUCAUUGUUAGUUCAUAUUAGCUAAGGCAUUACCAAAUGUUAAGGAAUAAACUCUUAUAGUAAAGUGUUACUAAAUUUUCUUUUACCAUUUCCUUCACAAUGUCUAUUUAUUUCUAUGGCUAACAGAUUUUGUAACAUUUGUCUUUUUUACAGUCUUACCAUUGCUUGUAAGCUGGAUUGGGUAAGAUGGAUCAUCUUUAAAGGCACCAGGAGUUAAGGCAGAUGUGGAGGCACAACGGGUGAUACCAGACACACACCAAGCACAUUAUGUUCGGACAUUCAAUCAUGACAGGAUCCAGGUGGAUGCUGUCCAUUGAGAAAAGAGUUUGUUCAGCGGUUUCUGGAUAGAAUUAAUUCCAAAGAUGGGAAAAAGUGCACAUCCAGACAAGGAGCAAGCAAAAAGACAAGGAACUUGGUGCAGAGAAAAGCUGUGGCCAUUAACCCCCAUGUGAACAGCUUCAUGCAGUCCCUGAUUGAGUUCGAAUGGACGACUUCAAAGUAAAGGCCACUGUGGUCUGUCUGCCACAGUUUAAUGCAUUUAUUUUUAGUGUUAAAUGAAAUUCAAGUAGAAUAUUUAAAACUAUGGGCCAGUGUUGUUUUUACCACAGUGAAAUGUUACCUUUUAGUCGAUGAUGGACUUUAAACUGAAAACUUCAAACUAUGGAACAGUGUUCUAUUUGCCAGAGUUAAAUAUGUUACAGCAGGGGU